rnacentral:rRNA from 1 species
CUACGGAGGGUGCAAGCGUUAUUCGGAAUCACUGGGCGUAAAGGACGCGUAGGCGGGUUGGCAAGUCAGAUGUGAAAUCCUACAGCUUAACUGUAGAACUGCAUUUGAAACUGCUAACCUAGAGUAUGGGAGGGGGAGAUGGAAUUAGUGGUGUAGGGGUAAAAUCCGCAGAUAUCACUAGGAAUACCAAAAGCGAAGGCGAUCUCCUGGAACAUAACUGACGCUAAGGCGUGAAAGCGUGGGGAGCAAACAGGAUUAGAAACCCUAGUAGUCC